ACGAACGCUGGCGGCGUGCUUAACACAUGCAAGUCGCACGGAAAGGCCCUGCUUUUGUGGGGUGCUCGAGUGGCGAACGGGUGAGUAACACGUGAGUAACCUGCCCUUGACUUUGGGAUAACUUCAGGAAACUGGGGCUAAUACCGGAUAGGAGCUCCUGCUGCAUGGUGGGGGUUGGAAAGUUUCGGCGGUUGGGGAUUGACUCGCGGCUUAUCAGCUUGUUGGUGGGGUAGUGGCUUACCAAGGCUUUGACGGGUAGCCGGCCUGAGAGGGUGACCGGCCACAUUGGGACUGAGAUACGGCCCAGACUCCUACGGGAGGCAGCAGUGGGGAAUAUUGCACAAUGGGCGGAAGCCUGAUGCAGCAACGCCGCGUGCGGGAUGACGGCCUUCGGGUUGUAAACCGCUUUCGCCUGUGACGAAGCGUGAGUGACGGUAAUGGGUAAAGAAGCACCGGCUAACUACGUG
rnacentral:rRNA from 1 species